AUCAUGAAGAUUGAGGCUGUCGCCUUUCUUCAUACCUCCCUGUUGGACUUGGCCGAGCUUUGAGCUCGGCCUUUUUU
rnacentral:ncRNA from 1 species